CCAGAGGACAAACUGGAAACACCGGGCUCAGUCCAAAUGGAGUUUCCUUGGCUCUGGUCAUCACUCUGGUUCUGAUUCUUCUCCUGGUUCUGCUCAUUCAGACUCAGGUCCAGCCACGCCACUCUCUUCCUGGCCCCCUUCUUGUCAGCUAUCCCUUCUCUGGUGACAGUAGAAUAACUGUAUCUUCUCUCUCUAAUCCCACCCUGCAGAACCAGACAGCCCAGGACUGAGUUCUUCCUCCCUUUCCUCUCCUCCUCCUCCUCCCUCAUUCUUUUAUUGUCUUCCUGUCUUUCUCCAGGCUGCUGGCAGAGGGGCCAAGGCAGGGGACAGCGGUUAAGAUGAGGGCUGGACACCCGGGAGGACAGAGGGGACAGGAUGGGGGACAUCAAGGGGGACAUGCUGUCAAAGCUAUUGGAGGUCCGCAGGGACGAAGUGCUGUCCAAGAUGGCGGAGAGAGAGGACUUCCAUUCUCUCAUAGGGUCGAAGGUCAUGGUGUUGUCAUUGGAGAGUUCAGUGUGUUCCCAUGACGAUUCUGAAGUGGUUUGCUCUAAGUUGAAGUUCCAGGUAGUUUAUUUGGACUCUUCUCUUUCUCUAUGCCUCACUGACUCCCAGUCCUCGUCUUCCCCUAGACCCUCCAUCCUCAGGGCUCUCCGCAGGCUCUGGCUCAGCGCCUCACCCAGGGCACGGAGCUCCUCAACUGGGAGAGGAUCUUCCCGAGUGGGUCCCCAAUCCUGGAUCUCUGGUUGGGGCUGGAGAGAGGGCUGGGUUUGGGCAGAAGGUUCUGGCAGUUGUUGUUGCUGGGGCUUAAGAAAGGGUGGUGGCUGGACAGAACACGGCAGCUGGGGCUGGAGAGAGGGUGGUGGCUGGACAGAGCACUGCAGCUGGGGCUGGAGAGAGGGUGGUGGCUGGACAGAGCACUGCAGCUGGGGUUGAAGAGAGGGUGGUGGCUGGACAGAGGACUGCAGCUGGGGUUGAAGAACACUGAGGGUGGUGGCUGGACAGAGGACUGCAGCUGGGGCUGGAGAGAAGGUGGUGCCUGGACAGAACACUGCAGCUGGGGCUGGAGAGAAGGUGGUGGCUGGACAGAACACUGCAGCUGGGGCUGGAGAGAGGGUGUUGGCUGGACAGAACACCGCAGCUGGGGCUGGAGAGAGGGUGUUGGCUGGACAGAACACUGAGGCUGGGGCUGGAGAGAGGGUGGUGGCUGGACAGAACACUGCAGCUGGGGUUGGAGAGAGGGUUUUGUCUCUAACACUGACUCUCCUUCAGACACACAGCCAUUUGGCGUAGAGGUAAACAGUCCAAAAACACUCCCCUCACUCUCCUCUUUGAUCCAGUCAGCGCUGGUGAGACUGACCCUCCGUUUGAUCCCUUCUACCUCCUCAAUCUUCCGCAUCACCCUCCAGGCUGCAUCCCUCCUCUCCACCUCCUCACACUGCCGCUGGGCUGACAUCUUUUCGUCCACUCUCUCUACCCUCCACUUCCCCCCCGCUCUACCUUCUUCCUGGCUGGGGCUCAGGGCCUGGGUGGUCCCCCCCUCUGGAGACUGCCUGGGGCUGUCCUGUGAAUCCUCUACGUCUUGGGGUUUAGAUGGGAAGGGGGAGGUGUUACACAGUUCGUUGUCGUACUCUGAGAGCUCCGUCUCUGAGUCUAUGCGAACAGGCUCUUCUUUCUGAGGUACAACUUCUUGGGGCGUUUGAUAACCGUAACGGUACUCAAAUGGGAGAACUCUGUUCGGAGAAUGAGGGCGGUUCUCAUAGAGUAGAAGCCCUCUGAGGGAGUCUAGAACAACGCUGAAGGAGUCUAGAACAGAGCUGAGGGAGUCUAGAACAGCACUGAAGGAGUCUAGAACAGAGCUGAGGGAGUCUAGAACAGCACUGAAGGAGUCUAGAACAGAGCUGAGGGAGUCUAGAACAACGCUGAAGGAGUCUAGAACAGAGCUGAGGGAGUCUAGAACAGCACUGAAGGAGUCUAGAACAGAGCUGAGGGAGUCUAGAACAGCACUGAAGGAGUCUAGAACAGCACUGAAGGAAUCUAGAACAGAGCUGAGAGAUUCUAGAACAGAGCUGAGGGAGUCUAGAACAGAGCUGAGGGGGUCUAGAACAGAGCUGAGGGAGUCUAGAACAGAGCUGAGGGGGUCUAGAACAGCGCUGAGGGACUCGUGCAUGGCUUCUUUGCCCUCCAUGGCAGUAUUCCUCCUCUCCCUCUCUCCUCCCAUGACAGUGUCCCUCUUCUCUCUCUCCCUCUCUCUCCCCAUGGCAGUGUCACUCUUCUCCAUCUUCUAUCUCUCUCUUCCUUCCAUGACCUUGAAGUUGGAGACAUCGCCAGAAGGAUAGGCUGGCCUCGGCUCUAUAAUACCCCACUGAAGAGUCUCCUCGGCUGGGGGAGCACUCAUCAUCCAUCUCUUCAGCCUCCUUUGCCUGGAGGUCCCUGCU
ensembl:lncRNA